CCGCAACCUUGAGAGAGAGGACUUUGGUGAUACAGUGAACACACAGGACCAGCUGUACUGCUUUCCAUCUCCUGACAUGUACCGGUUUUGUUUUAGGACAGAGUAGAAGGACUCCUCCAGGAUUCAAAAAUAUUCAUGCUGCGAUGCAAGUACUGGGAGAAGAGAAGAGUUUGCUGUGGCAACCUGAUUAGCUGGGGUGAAAUGGUGGUGAGAAAGAGAGCGCCAGUCUACUCAGAUAGUCCUGUUCUUCAGUAGUCCUGACCUCAUCCUCAUCCCUGUGAAAUCUGAAUAGUCCUUUUGUCUACAAAGAUCAAAUUAAAAAGUUCUCUUCUCAAGUGGAUUCUUGAAAAAAAAAAUGUUUUUCUUGUUGUGUGUUUUCUUUAAAGAAAACUGAUUU
rnacentral:lncRNA from 1 species